rnacentral:lncRNA from 1 species
UCCUGCUAUUGUUAACGGUAUCGUCAUCAUCAUCAUCAUCACUGAACGAACGAAUCGAACUUGCACGCGGUAGGAGACGAAGAAGAAGCAAGAGAAGCGGCCAUGGUGAUCUCUUCGAGAAAGGAAGCGAUGUACUGGAUCACCGCACACAUGGUGCCCAAUAUCGUUGGCGCCAUCCGCUUCACGUACGGCUUUCACCGAACGGGGUCAGAGGAAGGCGUCAUAUUGGACAUGUGGCUCGGUGCCGAGUGCGUCGCCAACGUCUGCAGUGACAUCGCGGUGAACCUGCUCCUCUGGAAAG